AUUUGAAACAUGUAGUGUGUGACUCAACUUCGAACUCCCGAUAUAGAUCUAUACAAGUAAAGAUCCAGUUCAAUUUGUAACUCAUAGCUUAAUACAAGGAUACCAACUGGGUCAUAAUAAUGAGGCUGCAGCGCUGCCCGGUUCACAUGCCGAGAUGAGAAGACCGGACAUAUUGAACAAUACGACAACGGCACUCACACAUGUGUGAAUGGUGUAGUUAAACAAAUAGCAACAACGAUCGCAACGACAACAUUUCCCUCUUCAACAACUGAAUCCACUCAAUCUACCAGCACCAUUAUCUCGCCACUGUUGAAGCACAUGUGCUCAAUUGUAUAUUUUGGCCGAGUUAAAUACGUGAACCAACCCACACCUAUUUACUCGGACUUGGAAAUUUGCUUCAACAAGCUCGACUUGAAGUCUCCAACCUUGCAAGGGCGGGACGAAAAGGUAAACCUGGAAAUUGAAAAGGAUCGCCACAGACCAGAGCCACCGAUACUUCACGGGAAAUACUUUCUGAACAUAACAGAAAAUCCAAAGCCCACAGAAACAUCCUCCUACAUUAACGUCAAGAAUGACGCUGUGUAUAAUUUAGCGAAAUUACGUAAACGAGCUAUUAAUAAAUUGCUCAAAUUGCUAAAGUUGUGCAAGAGUCUGUCAUGUUGAGCACUGGAUCGCCGCUUACUAAGAGUAAGCUGCGUUUGCGUCCAGGGCGCGGCGUGUGUUAAAUUGAUGUCAGGAAAGCACCUGGCUAUUUUUGUAGCGUUUUGUUUUAGUUAUAAUUUCCGAUGAGUUAACGGAUUUCGGUGUUUUACGUGGUUUGAACAUACACUGUCUUAUCUAGAAGUUGUUUACUCAAAUAUUGCCCACCGAAAUUAUCUUAUACGUACAUGAACGUGUACACAUUUGUCUCGCUUAUUGUGCUAAACCAUAGAAAUGGGAGUUCACUGUGCGGAGUUUCGUAAACAAGAAAUAGCUGAAAUCCUUGAGAUGAAAAGACACCAAAGUCCGAAGGAAUUAAUGCAGAUCAAGGCGGCUGCAGCGCUGCCUUGUUCUCAUGUCGAGAUGAGAAGACCGGACAUAUUGCACAAUACGACAACGACACUGAGAUAUGUGUGAAGGGUGGGAUUUUCGAACACGUGUGUCCAUUUCGUGUGUAAUUAAACAAAAAACGACAACGAUCGCAACGACAACAUUGCCUUCUUCAACAGCUGACUCCAAUCAAACUACCAGCAUCAUUAUGUCGCCUCUCUUGAUGCACAUGUGCUCGAUUGGUAAAGACCUACAAGACAGAUACAAGUGUUGUGGUGUGUACACCAAUUACCAACCUGAUUUUGAAACUUGCUGCAAGAUUACGAUGACGAAAACAAAAGUGCAUUCAGGGAAACCGGACAAAGAUUACACGUGUUGCCGAGACGACAUUACUAUAGCCUAUAAACGAACGGAUUUGCCGUGUUCCUACCACCAAGCGAACAACGACAAGUUCUGGAAGGCCCCUCAAGUUACCGCUCUCUUUAAGUCCCCUGAACUCCUGAAUCAGGCCUGUCUAACAAAGAAAGUAUAUUUGGGCAGAGUGAAAUAAGUGAACAAACCCUCAGCUAUUUACUCGGACCUGGAAAUUCGCUUAAACAAGCUUGACUUGAUGUCUCCAACCCUACAAGUGCGUGACGAAAAGGUAAACCUGUACAUUGAAAAGGAUCGCCACAGACCAAAGCCACCGAUACCGCAAGGAAAAUACUUUCUGAUCAUCACAGAAAAUCAGCAGCCCACAGAAAGACCGUCAUUCAUUAACGUCAAGAAUGACGCCGUGUAUAAACUUGCGAAAUCGCGUAAAAGUGCAAGUAAUAAAUUGCAUGAAUUGUUUAAGUUGUGCAAGAGUCUGUCAGGUUUAGCACUGGAUCACCGCUUACUAAGAGUAAGCUGUGUUUGCUUCCAGGGAGCGGCGAGUGUUAAAUUGAUGUCAGGAAAGCACUUGGCUGUUUUUGUAGCGUUUUGUUUCAGUUAUGAAUGCCGAUUAGUUAACGGAUUUCGGAGUUUUUACGUGGAUUGAACAUACACUGUCUUAUCUCGAAGUUGUUUUCUCAAAUAGUGCCCACCGAAAUUAUCUUAUACAUACAUGAAAGUGUACACAUUUGUCUCGCUAUGAGUGCUAAUCCUUGGAAAUGAGAGUUUACUGUGCAGAGUUUCGAAAACAAGAAAUAGCUGAAAUCCUUGAGAUGAAGAGACACGAAAGUCCGAAGGAAUUAAUGCAGAUAAGGUAUUCAGACGUCGGUAAAACGGAUUUUUAACAAUGAAGAACUGUAUGAACUAUAUGAACUAUAAACAUACUGUAUUCCUGCAUAUUGUGUUGGUAUAUGAUAAGAACGUUAUUUGUUCAUAAUAAAUUGUUGAACAUUUA